AGGGGGUUAGUCCAAUACAAGACCUCUGAUUUCGGCUCAGAAGACCGUGGUUUGAUUCCACGACCCCCUU
rnacentral:tRNA from 1 species